rnacentral:rRNA from 1 species
AUUGAACGCUGGCGGCGUGCCUAACACAUGCAAGUCGAGCGGCAGCGCGGGAGCAAUCCUGGCGGCGAGCGGCGGACGGGUGAGUAACGCUUGGGAAUCUGCCUGUUAGGUGGGGGACAACCCGGGGAACUCGGGCUAAUACCGCAUACGCACUACGGUGGAAAGCCGGGGACCGCAAGGCCUGGCGCUAACAGAUGAGCCCAAGUCGGAUUAGCUAGUUGGUAGGUAACGCCUACCAAGGCGACGAUCCGUAACUGGUCUGAGAGGACGACCAGUCACACCGGAACUGAGACACGGUCCGGACUCCUACGGGAGGCAGCAGUGGGGAAUAUUGGACAAUGGGGGAAAACCCUGAUCCAGCGACGCCGCGUGGGUGAAGAAGGCCUGCGGGUUGUAAA